rnacentral:lncRNA from 1 species
CAGGCCUUCUCAAUGGUUUGGAAUAGACACUGCUAACAAGAGUAUUAGUAGUAAACUAAGAAGAACAGAGAAAUUGAAUGAAAAGUGAGAACAUGGAGAGAGGCAAAAUGUGCAGGUCUGUGAACUGGAGAUUGGCACUUGCCAUCUGCCUCUGCACAGAUUGACUCAUGAGCUGCUGCAGCUGCUGUCCCUCUACACCCCUGAAAGGAGCUCAGGGCGGAGAUCAGGGCCCUUAGGUGCGACCAGUAGUAGAUAUCUGUGGUGAGAAGGCCACUGUGGUACAAAGUGGGAGUCAGAGCUCAGGAAGGGGCACAAGGACCAAAGGCAGCAACAAACUCAAUAUAAGUGAACACACUGAACACCUAUCAAGACACAUAGCAAAAAAAAAAAAAAAAAUCAAAACCAAAACCAAAAUAAUACCAAGGACCUCAUGGAGAAAAAGCUGGUUCUAGGUCUGGAGAAGGGAAAGUUCAAAAUGAUGCUGGAAUAAGUAUCCUGUUCUGACAGAAGGAAAGAUGUGCCCAAGGAAGUGAUGGAAACAUGUCAAAAAGAUACAGAGACCAGCUGCGAUGGGCUCCCAUAAGCCUUCCCAAUGGUAAUUUUCACUAUCUGGGAUUUUCCGAUUAUGUGCUGAGAUAGGUAUUGCUGGUUGCUUACCCUAUUGGUUCUUUCUUUCUUCAUUACUAACAUAACCUCAGUUUUAUUCAGGAGAGUGUACUCAGAAAAUUUGAUGUCACAGCCUGCCUUUUGUUUCUGGUAGUUUGACCAAGAAGAUAUUACCAGAAGGCUACUGGGUGGGUCUUUCAGAAAGGCAUUGUUUCCAUGAUACAAUGUAAUAGACUCUUGGAGUUCCCGUCGUGGCACAGUGGUUAACGAAUCCGACUAGGAACCAUGAGGUUGCAGGUUCAAUCCCUGCCUUUGCUCAGUGGGUUAACGAUCCGGCGUUGCCGUGAGCUGUGGUGUAGGUUGCAGACACGGCUCGGAUCCAGCGUUGUUGUGGCUCUGGCAUAGGCUGGUGGCUACAGCUCCGAUUCGACCCCUAGCCUGGGAACCUCCAUAUGCCUCGAGAGCGGCCCAAGAAAAUGGCAAUAAGACAAAAAAAAAAAAAAAGAAUUUAUAAUGUAACAGACUCAUCUGCCAUACAUCUUUUCCACUCAUAGACUUGGCUGAAUAAACAUGAAAACAUUAUGUAAACUUAUGAGUUUCAGUUUUCUCACCCCUUACGUUCAACCCUAUGAAGAUUGUAUCUUAAAACAUUGAUUCAUUUAUUGUUUUAAAAUUAUUGUUUCAAGCCCUUAGAACAUAAAAGCAUGGAGAAAAGAAUAUGGGACAUGACUCCUAAAGAGUUUCUAGUGAGGGAAGCCAGUACCUUACAAAAAAGAGAACAAUAUCCUGGGUUACAAAUUAUUAUGAAGUGCAGGGGUGAGUGACAAUGUAGGAAGACAAGCAUCAUUAAUGGAGACAAAAGAGACCGUCAAGAAAAUGUUGCUUCUUUCCUUCAUCAUUAAACUUUUCAAAAUAGUUAUUUAUACUCGUCUCCAUUCUUUGUCCUCCCUCUCACUUUCCAAUCUGUUCUAAUCUGUCUUCUCCCAUCUCUACCUUGUCACUGCAAUGGAAACAGCAUGUAUUAUAUCACCAGUGAUCUCCAUGUCUCUAUAAAGAAUGUACAUUUUUUGGCACCUGGUCUUUCUCAGGUCGCCCUGAGAAAAUCUCUCCUAGGAGGUAAGGGGAAGCUAGGAUAUGUAGGAGUUUUUGCAACAAAGGGAAGGAAGUAGGAACAAAAGAUAUACAGAAAACCAGUUUUUUAAGGUAAGAUGUAACGGUCUGGGCUUAUUGGAAUCCUUUGAUAUACACCUCAGUUAAGGGCGGCAUUCUUUGUUUCUUUCCCAAGUUCCCUCAGAGCUCACUGGCUCACCCUAGGGAGUGGCUGCGCUCACAAAUGACCUCACAGAUGACAUCUUUUGUUUUGUUCACUUAACUACAGUCUGGGAGGCAGUAUUUCAGACAGCUCCGAAAUACCGCCUCUAAGAGGAAAGGGGAAAUGUCAGGAUGUAAGUGAUAAAGGGGAGGGGAGGGGCAUGCAGCCAUGCCCACGUUUUGCAGAAGCUUGCUGCUGGUCUUGUGAAGGUUCCUACUCGUCACAGACAUUAGUUGCCACGAAGGAUUUUAGUGUUUUUCUAGAUAUGAGAAGAUGCAAGAAUUGGGCUCGUAAAAACUUCUAAAAAUAUCUAUCUGAAGACCUGUUGUUCCAGUUUUCCCAAAGCACAGAGUGCCUCCCUCCUGAUAUCCACCCUGGGCUCCACUCAGGGGGUGCUGUGAGUCUGCAGCUUCUGUGGCUCAUGCCUUAAUCCAUGCAGAGGCAGAUGGCAAGUGCCAAACUCCAUUUCAUGACCAUUUCAUCCCAUGCUAGGAAUUCUCAUUCUGAGGUCUGGCAAAGAUUUUGUUGGUAGACCACUCAGUGUGCUUUCAGUGGACUAAGCCUUUUUUUUUUUUUUUUUUUUUUCUUCUCUUUUUGCCUUUUCUAGGGCUGCUCCUGUGGCAUAUGGAGGUUCCCAGGCUCGGGGUCUAAUCAGAGCUGUAGCCACCGGCCUACGCCAGAGCUGCAGCAACACAGGAUCUGAGCCACGUCUGCAACCUACGCCACAGCUCACGGCAACACCGGAUCCUUAACCCACUGAGUGAGGCCAGGGAUCGAACCCGAAACUUCAUGGUUCCUAGUCGGAUUCGUUAACCACUGAGCCAUGAAAGGAACUCCUGGACUAAGCCUUAUUAACAGUAGCUGAAAGUCUCUGGACCACCUGUCUUACGAGUCUGUGAUGCUCCAGGGAAAUAUUCUCACUUAUGACAUCUUCCCAUAUCUAGAGUUACACUAUUACAGUCAUUGCUCUGGUAAAGAACUAUAUUUGGUCAACUGUUUCAAGUCACCCAGUCAUCAUUAUUUUGUUGCUGGCUUAGCUACACAUUUGGUUAUACAAGUAACAAUAAUCUUGCAAAAGAGGCAAAGUACAAACAAUAUAACUAAUGACAUCAAUAGAGUUAUGAGUAAAUAGUUAAGACAAGAGUUUCUUAUACCAAACCAAUUGUAGAAUAUGUUUGUUGGAGUUCCUGUCAUGGCUCAGUGGUAAUGAACCUGACUAGUAUCCAUGAGGACACAGGUUCAAUCCCUGGCCCCAAUCAUGGGUUAAGGAUCCAGUGUUGCCAUGAGCUGUGGUGUAGUUUGCAGUUGUGGUUCAGAUCCCACGUUGCUGUGACUGUGGUGUAGGCCAGCCCCUGUAGCUCCAAUUUGACCCCUAGCCUGGGAACUUCCAUAUGCUGCAGGUGCAGCCCUAAAAAGAAAAAAAGAAAAAGAAAAA